GUAAAGGUUUCGACAGGGGUUUUGCAGCUGGAGAAGCGAGCCGCAUGGUAAUGCGUUAAAUGGCCAAAUUAAAUUUAAACGCUAACGAUAAUUUAGCAUACGCUGCCUAAUGGCAGCAGUCCGACCUAGGGCACUCACACUUUAGGAACCGGGCUUCGACGAUGUGAGAAACGACAUCUGCAAAGCUUUGAGCAGAUGGGCGUAUUAUGAAGCUACUGAAACCGCAAGGGUGUCUGCUCCCGUGCGGCGGAGGGAAGGGACCGGUUCUCCGGUCAGAAUAAACAGGCUACGCUCGUAGAAGGACAGGGAAUAGGCUUUUGGACACGGGUUCGACUCCCGUCUAGUCCAC
rnacentral:tmRNA from 1 species